AUUGAACGCUGGCGGCAUGCUUUACACAUGCAAGUCGAACGGCAGCGCGGGGCAACCUGGCGGCGAGUGGCGAACGGGUGAGUAAUAUAUCGGAACGUACCCAGAAGUGGGGGAUAACGUAGCGAAAGUUACGCUAAUACCGCAUACGAUCUACGGAUGAAAGUAGGGGACCGCAAGGCCUCAUGCUUUUGGAGCGGCCGAUAUCUGAUUAGCUAGUUGGUGAGGUAAAGGCUCACCAAGGCGACGAUCAGUAGCUGGUCUGAGAGGACGACCAGCCACACUGGAACUGAGACACGGUCCAGACUCCUACGGGAGGCAGCAGUGGGGAAUUUUGGACAAUGGGCGCAAGCCUGAUCCAGCAAUGCCGCGUGAGUGAAGAAGGCCUUCGGGUUGUAAAGCUCUUUUGUCAGGGAAGAAACGGUAGAGGCUAAUAUCCUUUGCUAAUGACGGUACCUGAAGAAUAAGCACCGGCUAACUACGUG
rnacentral:rRNA from 1 species